UACGUAGGGAGCAAGCGUUGUUCGGAUUUACUGGGCGUAAAGGGCGCGUAGGCGGCAAUUCAAGUCACUUGUGAAAUCUCCGGGCUUAACUCGGAACGGUCAAGUGAUACUGCUUUGCUAGAGUGCGGAAGGGGCAAUCGGAAUUCUUGGUGUAGCGGUGAAAUGCGUAGAUAUCGGGAGGAACACCUGUGGCGAAGGCGGCCCCCUGGUUGGAUACUGACGCUGAUACGCGAAAGCGUGGGGAGCAAACAGG
rnacentral:rRNA from 1 species